GGAAUAUUGGUCAAUGGUCGGAAGACUGAACCAGCCAAGUAGCGUGCAGGAUGACGGCCCUAUGGGUUGUAAACUGCUUUUGUGCGGGAAUAACGGUCUCCUCGUGAGGGGAUGUGCAUGUACCGUACGAAUAAGGAUCGGCUAACUCCGUGCCAGCAGCCGCGGUAAUACGGAAGGUCCGGGCGUUAUCCGGAUUUAUUGGGUUUAAAGGGAGCGCAGGCUGAUUAUUAAGCGUGACGUGAAAUGUAGCCGCUCAACGGCUGAACUGCGUCGCGAACUGGUAGUCUUGAGUGAGUUCGAUGUUGGCGGAAUUCGUGGUGUAGCGGUGAAAUGCUCAGAUAUCACGAAGAACUCCGAUUGCGAAGGCAGCCAACAAGGCCUUUACUGACGCUAAAGCUCGAAGGUGCGGGUAUCGAACA
rnacentral:rRNA from 1 species